ensembl:lncRNA
CUUGGUGGUAUCCUGGUGGAAAGCCAGUGGUGUUUUCCAGAGAUCCCAAUAGUGCACCUCUCCAAGCAUCUUAGGACUGAUUUGUAAUGGCUUUUAAGCUGCAAACCUCCCUAUUUCAUAGUAAACUCAGAAAUUAUGCACGUCAGAUGUCUGUGAAACUUGCACCUCCAACUUGCCAAAGAAGGGCCAGUAUCUGCAGUUAUAUUGACUAAAAUUUUAAAUGAAAGAGAGUUGUCCAGAUUGAAGUCCAAAAAGAUUGACUUGAAAGGCUUUGAGACUCCUCAAAAGUAGCAUUCAUAGGAAGAGAACAAAAGUAGUUCCAUGUGCCUUGUCAUGAAGCAUGGACAGCGUCCAACAAGAAAUACUGCAUAGAUUACAAAUGAUGAACACACAGGAGUGUAUUUGUAUUCAAAUACAAAAAUAUUUUGGAAAUCAUUUUGAUUGGAAAAUUCAUAAAUUCCAACAUUUGGUUACUAUUUUUACAUUUGCUCAUCCAUCCAUGUUUAUUUUUUAUUGAUCAGUUAUUUUAAAUCAGCUCAUAGACAACAGCUCAACAGACAAAAUUUUUUACAGAACUGUGGUAAAUUCCAGUCAUGCAGUUCUGUGGGAAUCUUUUGUCUGUUUGUUUUCUUUGUGUUUGUGUGGUUUGCCUGAAGGUAUAAGCAAAUAAAGCAGA